UACGUAGGUGGCAAGCGUUGUCCGGAUUUACUGGGCGUAAAGAGCGCGCAGGCGGUCGAAUAAGUCGAAUGUGAAAGCCCCCGGCUCAACUGGGGAGGGUCAUUCGAUACUGCUCGACUUGAAGGCAGGAGAGGGUAGUGGAAUUCCCGGUGUAGUGGUGAAAUGCGUAGAUAUCGGGAGGAACACCAGUGGCGAAGGCGACUACCUGGCCUGUUCUUGACGCU
rnacentral:rRNA from 1 species